rnacentral:rRNA from 1 species
UACAGAGGCCCCAAGCAUUAUCCGGAAUCACUGGGCGUAAAGGGUGUCAAGGCGGUUUUGUUAGUCGUUUGUAAAAUCCAGGAGCUCAACUUCUGGCCCGCAAGCGAAACGGCAAGACUUGAGGUUGGGAGAGGUGCGUGGAACUCACGGUGUAGGGGUGAAAUCCGUUGAUAUCGUGGGGAACACCAAAGGCGAAGGCAGCGCACUGGCCCAAAUCUGACGCUCACACACGAAAGCCAGGGUAGCGAAUGGG